ensembl:lncRNA
AAAACCUCUCAGAAGAAAAGCAGCAAACGCCAAAGACGAAGAGAAGGCUUUAUGGAUAGAGAAACAGAGGGUGGGGAGAAAGGAGAGCGAGGAGUUUAGACUUCUGCACUGUUUCCUCUCUCUUCAGUCUGUCUGUCGUUUUUUUGAAGCGCAUUGUCUCUCUUCUCUUCUUCUCUCCCCUGUUUUUCUCAAGCUGGUCAUCUCCAGAAUGAAUAGAAGGCUUGUACUUACAGUCCUGGCCCUGAAUGUUGUAACCAAUGAAAUCAAGGUAUCCACCUCCCAACCUCUCACACCAUCCAACUCCACUCCUGCUACCUUCAUUCCCCCUGCUCCCACCACUUCCUGUGUGUGUAAAGUCUCCACUUCCUGUUCCUCUCCGACCCAGCCCGAGUCUCCGCCACCUGCGCUGGGUGUUAUCAAGGUCAAAUGGGAAGAAAAGUCCUGUAAGGGGGAUGUACACCUGUCUCUCCUCUCGUCCCAUUCCUUACCAGUCUGCUUUAACAGUCUUACCCAUCGUAGUCUUCAUCGUGCAGGGCUGUGUAAGAGGAAGGGCUGCGAGGGCUCCCCAACGUGGACUAAGAUCAAUCCUAAAGCUUUGGGUUACCAGAUCAGUACGAAUGGAAGUGUUGCCAACAACCCCUGUACAACACUGGGGAUCCAAUGCGACGUCGUCUCAGAUCAGUUAGUGGGCUAUAAGGUGGUGACUGGUCUACUGUGUGUUCUGGUGCUGGUGGUGCUGAUGGUGCGUUUCGGGCAGCCCUCCCUCAAGGCCCUCCGUAGGAGACUGUCAGACAAGAGGCAGAGUCGGUGGAUCGGACCUACGCAGAGCCAAAGUGUCUCCUACCAUAGAGGGAAGGCUGGACUCCAACUUAACGACAACACAGACAAGAGACACUCCUACCCUGGAUUGGAGAGGCUGACGGUGAACACCAGCCGAGAGCCUUCGUCUAACAGAAACAGUGAUUAUGACUCUUAUAACUUGUGAUCAUCAUCAUCAUCAGUCAUAUCCUUCACCCACAAUGACAAUACACUGUACAUGUAUUUUUCAUAUUUUAUUAUAUUUUUAUAUUUUUUUAUGCUAAUUGUAAAAAAAAAAAAAAUUAAGCACAUAAAUAUCUUUUUUUUUUUUUUUGGGGGUGUUUCUGUACGUAAUUCAGUCAUUCACUUCUUUUAUUGAAUAAACGUAACGUUUGUUGUUGAAUAAAAUGUUUGGACCUCGUACUUAGAAGUGAACCGGAUGCUCAAGAAGGCAAUGAAAAGCAGGAUGAAAGGCAAGAGGGAGAGAAGAGUUUCUGCAACGGUGUGGCUUCCUGUGCCGUUGAC